AGGUAUUUAGCUUAAUUGGUAAAGCAUGCAACUAAUAAUUGCAAAGAUGAUGGUUCAACUCCUUCAGUACCUA
rnacentral:tRNA from 1 species